rnacentral:rRNA from 1 species
GACAGCAGCCGCCGCGGUAAUACAGAGGGUGCGAGCGUUAAUCGGAUUUACUGGGCGUAAAGCGUGCGUAGGCGGCUUUUUAAGUCGGAUGUGAAAUCCCUGAGCUUAACUUAGGAAUUGCAUUCGAUACUGGGAAGCUAGAGUAUGGGAGAGGAUGGUAGAAUUCCAGGUGUAGCGGUGAAAUGCGUAGAGAUCUGGAGGAAUACCGAUGGCGAAGGCAGCCAUCUGGCCUAAUACUGACGCUGAGGUACGAAAGCAUGGGGAGCAAACAGGAUUAGAUACCCCAGUAGUCCCUGUCUCUUAUAC